CUCACCUAUCCGUCGCUUGGGUUCUUCGAUCGCAGGAGCGAUGGCCCUCCACUGCUGUCAUACUCAUCACUCCCCCACCGAUUUACGAGCCAGCGAGAAUCCGGUAAACAAAUACUAGAUCCAAUUGGAAGAUACUCCUACUACAAAUCAAAUGAACCCACCAAUAUCACGCUUGUUCGCUCUACUGAUGAUGCUAGCUUUCUGCGGGAAAUGUCGUGGUCGAUCGACGAUCAUGGCAAAAAACCAAGUCAUUGGGUGCCUUUCACGCGCUGGUCCCCAUUUUGUUUUCCUAUUGCUGUGACGCAUAUAUG
rnacentral:misc_RNA from 1 species